rnacentral:rRNA from 1 species
UACGGGGGGGGCAAGCGUUGUUCGGAAUUACUGGGCGUAAAGGGCUCGUAGGUGGCCAACUAAGUCAUACGUGAAAUCCCUCGGCUUAACCGGGGAACUGCGUCUGAUACUGGAUGGCUUGAGGUUGGGAGAGGGAUGCGGAAUUCCCGGUGUAGUAGUGAAAUGCGUAGAUAUCGGGAGGAACACCAGCGGCGAAGGCGACUUUCUGGCUGCUAACUGACGCUGAGACGCGAAAGCUAGGGGAGCGAACGGG